UCCCGUCCGUCUCUCCUCCCCCAUCAAAUCGUAUCGCCCGCCUCCGUCGUCGCCGUCGUCAUCAUCAUCGCAUUCCCUUUCUCUUCUUUCCUCUCAGAUCUGAUAUGCUAUCCUCCUCCUCCUCCUCCUUGCUUCCGAAUCGAAUGAGCUCUGGAUGCAGCGGUUUAUCGAUCUCUUCCUGGCCUUGUUGGUCUCUCUUCCUUUCGUGGUGGUGGGGUUUGAUCCGUUUUUGUCUUGCUUCUUGAGGUUACAAAGCGGGAACCGGUCGAUAAACCUCUGCAUCCGGGCGUCCGCAGCCACCCAUUCCCCAGCCUCUCCUUUCCUUUCUUUCUCUCUUAAUCUUUGCCGUGGUUGACUAAUGACUGAGGUAGAGAAAGGUACCAGAUAGCUGUCACCGCUUGGUUUGGUGUGACCUAGCUGACGCGUGAUCUUUCGGGAAGGCCAUCGGUCUGGUGCUUGAUUUUGCAGAUCCGGUGUACUGUAGCAACCAUGUUUUGCUGAACAAAAUUUCAAUUCUGGAACACUCGAAAAGUAAACAAUUAGUCAACAUCAAGUAAGUAUAUUGGAGGGGCAUCUGAUAUUCUUAGAAGAUUCAUUCUCUGUUUAUAUAAUGGUCAGGUUAUUGUUUACCCUUUCUCUGUUAUGGAAUUAUCAUAAUUUCAGUAUGAAUCGAAGAUGCAAAGCUAUAUGACAGUUUAUACUGCAGAUCUCUCUAAUGAAGCUUUAUGUUUGUUGUGUUCAAUACAAUGUAAAAAGAGCACCUUGCAAAAGAGUUCCCAACUUGUUAGGUACAAGGAAUCCGGUUCCCAAUUAUAGUUCCUGGCAUGGCUUUCUAGGGUUAACAGGUUCCUUGCCUUGGCUGCUGAUAGCUGCUUUUCUCUUUCUCUUCCUUUUUCUUUCUGUUUGGAAGGAUUCUUCUGCAGCUACCAUUUCCCUGUCAGCAUUUAUGUUGAUGUUUGAGUUACACAGAUACACCACAUCUAAGACCAAUGUUGAUGGUUGAUGCAGCUUAAUGAUUCCUGUUGGAUUCUGUAUUAUCGGGAUUAUGAACUUUCUAACAAGUAUCAUUGAUCAA